CUCGUAGGCGGCCAACUAAGUCAGACGUGAAAUCCCUCAGCUUAACUGGGGAACUGCGUCUGAUACUGGAUGGCUUGGAUUCGGGAGAGGAAUGCGGAAUUCCAGGUGUAGCGGUGAAAUGCGUAGAUAUCUGGAGGAACACCGGUGGCGAAGGCGGCAUUCUGGACCGAUAUUGACGCUGAGGAGCGAAAGCCAGGGAGCAA
rnacentral:rRNA from 1 species